UGAGCCUUUGCUGGGAUGCUCAUGGAUUGCACACACAAACAGUGCAGGAGAGUUACAUUGAAUGAGAAGGGCAGGAGCAUCUAGAUGGGAUUUGAAGCUGCAACUGAGUCUUCUCAGAAACGGAGUUUGGGUGAGGGGAAAAGAAAGACUGAACAAAUGCAGAGGCAGAGAUGUCUCCUCACUCAGGGUUGAAGGCUCAAUGACAAAACUGCAAUAGCUACUUGUGGUUUCUUACUUGUGCUACCAACUUUUUAGGCUCAUGUGCUCCUGCAGGAGUAUACUGCUGUUGUAGACAGCAGAGGACACCACAGGUGGCUGCUCUUUCUUUGAGUGUAACAGAAUUUGAAUUAAAAAUGUACUUAUGUUUCAGGUCUGAUCUGUCCCCAAAACGGAACUGUUUUUAACAUCUGGCUGCAUUAGCUAAUGUGCUUCCAUGGGCUGCAACCCUGGUGUGUUUCUCCCUAUCGCAUACUUGGCUGUACAGAAUACAGGGAAUGCACAGUCACAGGUUUCUGUUUUGAUGUUGUAGUGUGUGUGUAACAUACCUUACAGCAGUAUGUUACUAGCCUGUUACUCAGAGUAUUUAUUACUCAGAUUAGUGUUCUUUAGCACAACAGAUACUUAUGUUCCUGUGUUGCAGUUCCUUUUUUGAAAGGAGAAGUUCCUCACUUUAUUGGAGCAUUUGGGGAUGUGCAGUGCAUGGGUGUAACUACUCAGUGGAUUUCUGUAUGUCCCGUAACUUGAUUUCAUCACCACAGAUAUAUAAGGGCUGGUACUUCAUUCAGGGCACAAGACGGAUGUUGUGCAGUGAAUGAGCAGCUAUUCAAUAUUCUUAUCCUCCUCAUACAAUGUGUCACCCUGUGCCCUAUUUAUGACACACCAUCCAUACCCUGUACUGAAUAAAGAACUGUUGAACUCCU